rnacentral:rRNA from 1 species
CCCUCAAGGGACUUCAGCAGUGAUAAACAUUAAGCUAUAAGUGAAAACUUGACUUAGUUAAAGCUAAAAGAGCCGGUAAAACUCGUGCCAGCCACCGCGGUUAUACGAGAGGCUCAAGUUGACAGACAACGGCGUAAAGAGUGGUUAAGGAAUCCAUUAAACUAAAGCCGAACGCCCUCAGAACUGUUAUACGUUUCCGAAGGUAAGAAGCCCCACCACGAAAGUGACUUUACUCCCCCUGACCCCACGAAAGCUGCGAAACAAACUGGGAUUAGAUACCCCAUUAUGCCCAGCCCUAAACUUUGAUAGCCCAUUACACCCACUAUCCGCCAGGGUACUACGAGCAUUAGCUUAAAACCCAAAGGACUUGGCGGUGCUUUACAUCCACCUAGAGGAGCCUG